AGUAGAAAAAUGUCCUUUAAUAUUAGAUAGGAAAAAUAUUCUAGUUUAAUUUGUCCAUUCCUUCCACAUAAACCAGACAAGAUGACUUUUCCACCAAACAAUAUUAUGGACACAGAUUUUUGCCAGAAGCAACAGUUUGAAGCUGUUUGGACUCUCAUUCUGACGGCACCCAUUC